UCUAGGGGAAGAAAAUGAAUUACUUCUCUCAGAGUACUGGACUAGCAACAGCAAUAGACAAGGAACACAAGAACCUUCACCACCUUCCCAGCCAUCCUCAUCCUCACUAUGGCAAUGCUGAUAACAGUGAUGAGGACUAUAGCCAUUGUCCCAGGAGCCCUUGGAUGACCUACAAUCACUUAAGAAACAAACCUCUUGGCACGUCUGUGAGGGAGUUUCUGGACUGAGAAGACCCUCCAGAACUGGGGCAGCAGCGUCCUGUGCACUGAGGUUCCAGACAGAAUGAAGAGGAGACAGUGAACUAAGCACCAGCUUUCAACCUCAGCUUCCUGGCUGAGGGCGCAAUGUGAGCAGCCACCUCACCACCCUUCAGCCAUGACUUCCCACCACUGAGGACUGAAUGUGCCCUUGUACCGGGAGCCAGAAUAAACCUUCCUUUCUCUGAGUUGCUUUUUCCAGGUGUUCUGUCACAGCAAUGAAGAAAGCAAAUUGAUACAACACUGUUGGAAAUCAUGAUCAUUAAAAAAACAAAACAAAACAAGGGAAGUAUUUAAGUAUCAGUGACUGUAACAUGUAGAAAAAUCAGUAAUUCUGAAAGGCACAAAAUGCUUGGCCCGCUAACUGGCAAUAAUGAAAUUCACAACAAUGAAGUAAGCAAGUUUUGCUCUUACCAUUUGAAAUCUUUUCUGCUGAGGCUGGGGUUAAACCCUGGGCCUGAUGCAUGGUAGGAAAGAGCUAAGUCUACCUACUGCUGAGUUAUAUUUCCACCCUUGAUAUAGUCAUAGCCAUUAUAUUUCCACCUUUCAGGAAUUCUGUCAUCAUGAAUGGAUGCUGAAUUUUGUUAGAUGACUUGCUUGUAUAUCUGUAUUAAAAUGAUCUUGUGUCUCUUC